rnacentral:misc_RNA from 1 species
CAAACCCACACGCACACAAUCCUUGUCGGGAAGGCUGAAAAAUCUUAAAGCAGUCAACCAGCAGAGAUAAAAGUAUUUACGAAAAGGUAGAAGCUGUGAUGCCAUUGCAAAACAAGCCAACCACAGAGUACAAAGUUACUUACCAACAGGGUCUAGGAGAGACUAUAUGUAUGCCAUUGAAGAUGAGAAUCAUGAAAGAGAAACUUA